rnacentral:rRNA from 1 species
CAGUAGCCACGGGAAAACGGAGGGGGCUAGCGUUGUUCGGAAUUACUGGGCGUAAAGCGUACGUAGGCGGCUUUGUAAGUUAGAGGUGAAAGCCUGGUGCUCAACACCAGAACUGCCUUUAAGACUGCAUCGCUUGAACGUCGGAGAGGUGAGUGGAAUUCCGAGUGUAGAGGUGAAAUUCGUAGAUAUUCGGAAGAACACCAGUGGCGAAAGCGGCUCACUGGACAAUAACUGACGCUGAUGCACGAAAGCUAGGGGAGCAAACAGGAUUAGAUACCCCAGUAGUCCCUGUCUCUUAUAC